rnacentral:rRNA from 1 species
UACGGGGGGGGCAAGCGUUGUUCGGAAUUACUGGGCGUAAAGGGCUCGUAGGCGGCCAACUAAGCCAUACGUGAAAUCCCUCGGCUUAACCGGGGAACUGCGUCUGAUACUGGAUGGCUUGAGUUCGGGAGAGGGAUGCGGAAUUCCAGGUGUAGCGGUGAAAUGCGUAGAUAUCUGGAGGAACACCGGUGGCGAAGGCGGCAUCCUGGACCGACACUGACGCUGAGGAGCGAAAGCCAGGGGAGCAAACGGG